rnacentral:rRNA from 1 species
UACGGGGGGGGCAAGCGUUGUUCGGAAUUACUGGGCGUAAAGGGCUCGUAGGCGGCCAACUAAGUCGGAUGUGAAAUCCCCAGGCUUAACCUGGGAACUGCAUCCGAUACUGGAUGGCUUGAAUCCGGGAGAGGGAUGCAGAAUUCCAGGUGUAGCGGUGAAAUGCGUAGAUAUCUGGAGGAACACCGGUGGCGAAGGCGGCGUCCUGGACCAACACUGACACUGAUGAGCGAAAGCCAGGGGAGCAAACGGG